AUUGAACGCUGGCGGCAGGCCUAACACAUGCAAGUCGAGCGAGCGGCGGGCGGGUGAGUAAUGCCUGGGAAUUGCCCAGUCGAGGGGGAGAACAGUGGGAACCGACUGCUAAUACACCAUACGCUUCGAUUGCCCAGGUGGGCUUAGCGAGUUGGUGAGGUAAUGGCUCACCAAGGCGACGAUCCCUAGCUGGUCUGAGAGGAUGAUCAGCCAAACGUGAACGGAGACACGGUCCAGACUCCUACGGGAGGCAGCAGUGGGGAAUAUUGCACAAUGGGGGAAACCCUGAUGCCGCCAUGCCGCGUGUGUGAAGAAGGCCUGAGGGUUGUAAAGCACUUUCAGCGGGGAGGCGUUACUCGCAGAAGAAGCACCGGCUAACUCCGUGCCAGCAGCCGCGGUAAUAC
rnacentral:rRNA from 1 species